CGAGUUGGUCAGGCGAUCGCUGUGCUAUUCAGCGCAGAGGAAAGUCCGGGCUCCAACGGGUCAGAGUGCCAGGUAACGCCUGGGAGGCGCGAGCCUACGGAAAGUGCAGCAGAAAGGAAACCGCCCAGCCCUGAGGUUGGGUAAGGGUGAAAAGGUGCGGUAAGAGCGCACCGCAUGGUCGGCAACGAGCAUGGCGAUGGUAAACCCCACUCGGAGCAAGACCAAAUAGGGAUCCUUAGGCCGUGACCCUCGGCGGAUCCGGGUAGGUCGCUACAGGCGAGCGGCGACGCUCGUCGCAGAUGAAUGAUCGUCCACGACAGAACCCGGCUUAUCGACCAACUCACCUU
rnacentral:RNase_P_RNA from 3 species